AGGGCGUUUAGUAUUUGGUCGUAGACCCGAAACCAGGUGAUCUACCCUUGGUCAGGUUGAAGUUCAGGUAACACUGAAUGGAGGACCGAACCGACUUACGUUGAAAAGUGAGCGGAUGAACUGAGGGUAGCGGAGAAAUUCCAAUCGAACCUGGAGAUAGCUGGUUCUCUCCGAAAUAGCUUUAGGGCUAGCCUCAAGUGAUGAUUAUUGGAGGUAGAGCACUGUUUGGACGAGGGGCCCCUCUCGGGUUACCGAAUUCAGACAAACUCCGAAUGCCAAUUAAUUUAACUUGGGAGUCAGAACAUGGGUGAUAAGGUCCGUGUUCGAAAGGGAAACAGCCCAGACCACCAGCUAAGGUCCCAAAAUAUAUGUUAAGUGGAAAAGGAUGUGGCGUUGCCCAGACAACUAGGAUGUUGGCUUAGAAGCAGCCAUCAUUUAAAGAGUGCGUAAUAGCUCACUAGUCGAGUGACACUGCGCCGAAAAUGUACCGGGGCUAAACAUAUUACCGAAGCUGUGGAUUGUCCUUUGGACAAUGGUAGGAGAGCGUUCUAAGGGCGUUGAAGCAUGAUCGUAAGGACAUGUGGAGCGCUUAGAAGUGAGAAUGCCGGUGUGAGUAGCGAAAGACGGGUGAGAAUCCCGUCCACCGAUUGACUAAGGUUUCCAGAGGAAGGCUCGUCCGCUCUGGGUUAGUCGGGUCCUAAGCUGAGGCCGACAGGCGUAGGCGAUGGAUAACAGGUUGAUAUU
rnacentral:rRNA from 1 species